CCGAACCCGCAUCUGUUGCAAUAGAUUGGGAUGACUUGUGGUUAGGGGUGAAAGGCCAAUCAAACUCGGAGAUAGCUGGUUCUCCGCGAAAUCUAUUUAGGUAGAGCGUCGACCGAAUACCCUCGGGGGUAGAGCACUGGAUGGGCUAUGGGGACUCACCGUCUUACUGAUCCUAACCAAACUCCGAAUACCGAGGAGUACUAGUCGGCAGACACACGGCGGGUGCUA
rnacentral:rRNA from 1 species